CUUUUUUGGAGUUCAUACAAAAGCAGCAUGAAAACCUCAAAGACAUCAUUACACCAGAUGAAUGAUGUUUUUAUACAUUUACAUUGUCCUCCUCUUAGAAAUGCCAGCUGUGCUGGGAGUGAGUUUGGAUCAAGGUACAAAGGCUUUGGCUAAAGCAGCUGGCAAAACUGUGUAUCUGCCCUGCAAAGUGACCGAUUUGCAAUCUUGGAAUUAUAUCCAUUGGUACCAAAUAAAAGAGGGUGAAGCCCCAUCGAGACUACUCUAUAUCAGUCAUGGAGGAGAUGUCACUCGUGAUACUAACAAUCCCCAAGCAACUGACUUCACAGUGGACAAAACAAAGCUUUAUGAUCUAAAACUGAGUGAUACUCAGACGAAACAUUCUGCCAUUUACUUCUGCGCCUACUGGGACACAAGCAACCACAGUGAGAAGAUUUACGCACAUCCUGUACAUGAACUAAUGAAUAAAACAUUUAAAUCCUUAAA